CUGUGAGCUCGAUGAGUAGGGCGGGACACGUGGUAUCCUGUCUGAAUAUGGGGGGACCAUCCUCCAAGGCUAAAUACUCCUGACUGACCGAUAGUGAACCAGUACCGUGAGGGAAAGGCGAAAAGAACCCCGGCGAGGGGAGUGAAAAAGAACCUGAAACCGUGUACGUACAAGCAGUGGGAGCACGCUUCGGCGUGUGACUGCGUACCUUUUGUAUAAUGGGUCAGCGACUUAUAUUCUGUAGCAAGGUUAACCGAAUAGGGGAGCCGAAGGGAAACCGAGUCUUAACUGGGCGUUAAGUUGCAGGGUAUAGACCCGAAACCCGGUGAUCUAGCCAUGGGCAGGUUGAAGGUUGGGUAACACUAACUGGAGGACCGAACCGACUAAUGUUGAAAAAUUAGCGGAUGACUUGUGGCUGGGGGUGAAAGGCCAAUCAAACCGGGAGAUAGCUGGUUCUCCCCGAAAGCUAUUUAGGUAGCGCCUCGUGAACUCAUCUCCGGGGGUAGAGCACUGUUUCGGCAAGGGGGUCAUCCCGACUUACCAACCCGAUGCAAACUGCGAAUACCGGAGAAUGUUAUCACGGGAGACACACGGCGGGUGCUAACGUCCGUCGUGAAGAGGGAAACAACCCAGACCGCCAGCUAAGGUCCCAAAGUCAUGGUUAAGUGGGAAACGAUGUGGGAAGGCCCAGACAGCCAGGAUGUUGGCUUAGAAGCAGCCAUCAUUUAAAGAAAGCGUAAUAGCUCACUGGUCGAGUCGGCCUGCGCGGAAGAUGUAACGGGGCUAAACCAUGCACCGAAGCUGCGGCAGCGACGCUUAUGCGUUGUUGGGUAGGGGAGCGUUCUGUAAGCCUGCGAAGGUGUGCUGUGAGGCAUGCUGGAGGUAUCAGAAGUGCGAAUGCUGACAUAAGUAACGAUAAAGCGGGUGAAAAGCCCGCUCGCCGGAAGACCAAGGGUUCCUGUCCAACGUUAAUCGGGGCAGGGUGAGUCGACCCCUAAGGCGAGGCCGAAAGGCGUAGUCGAUGGGAAACAGGUUAAUAUUCCUGUACUUGGUGUUACUGCGAAGGGGGGACGGAGAAGGCUAUGUUGGCCGGGCGACGGUUGUCCCGGUUUAAGCGUGUAGGCUGAUUUUCCAGGCAAAUCCGGAAAAUCAAGGCUGAGGCGUGAUGACGAGGCACUACGGUGCUGAAGCAACAAAUGCCCUGCUUCCAGGAAAAGCCUCUAAGCAUCAGGUAACAUCAAAUCGUACCCCAAACCGACACAGGUGGUCAGGUAGAGAAUACCAAGGCGCUUGAGAGAACUCGGGUGAAGGAACUAGGCAAAAUGGUGCCGUAACUUCGGGAGAAGGCACGCUGAUACGUAGGUGAAGUCCCUUGCGGAUGGAGCUGAAAUCAGUCGAAGAUACCAGCUGGCUGCAACUGUUUAUUAAAAACACAGCACUGUGCAAACACGAAAGUGGACGUAUACGGUGUGACGCCUGCCCGGUGCCGGAAGGUUAAUUGAUGGGGUUAGCGGUAACGCGAAGCUCUUGAUCGAAGCCCCGGUAAACGGCGGCCGUAACUAUAACGGUCCUAAGGUAGCGAAAUUCCUUGUCGGGUAAGUUCCGACCUGCACGAAUGGCGUAAUGAUGGCCAGGCUGUCUCCACCCGAGACUCAGUGAAAUUGAACUCGCUGUGAAGAUGCAGUGUACCCGCGGCAAGACGGAAAGACCCCGUGAACCUUUACUAUAGCUUGACACUGAACAUUGAGCCUUGAUGUGUAGGAUAGGUGGGAGGCUUUGAAGUGUGGACGCCAGUCUGCAUGGAGCCGACCUUGAAAUACCACCCUUUAAUGUUUGAUGUUCUAACGUUGGCCCCUGAUCGGGGUUGCGGACAGUGUCUGGUGGGUAGUUUGACUGGGGCGGUCUCCUCCUAAAGAGUAACGGAGGAGCACGAAGGUUGGCUAAUCCUGGUCGGACAUCAGGAGGUUAGUGCAAUGGCAUAAGCCAGCUUGACUGCGAGCGUGACGGCGCGAGCAGGUGCGAAAGCAGGUCAUAGUGAUCCGGUGGUUCUGAAUGGAAGGGCCAUCGCUCAACGGAUAAAAGGUACUCCGGGGAUAACAGGCUGAUACCGCCCAAGAGUUCAUAUCGACGGCGGUGUUUGGCACCUCGAUGUCGGCUCAUCACAUCCUGGGGCUGAAGUAGGUCCCAAGGGUAUGGCUGUUCGCCAUUUAAAGUGGUACGCGAGCUGGGUUUAGAACGUCGUGAGACAGUUCGGUCCCUAUCUGCCGUGGGCGCUGGAGAACUGAGGGGGGCUGCUCCUAGUACGAGAGGACCGGAGUGGACGCAUCACUGGUGUUCGGGUUGUCAUGCCAAUGGCACUGCCCGGUAGCUAAAUGCGGAAGAGAUAAGUGCUGAAAGCAUCUAAGCACGAAACUUGCCCCGAGAUGAGUUCUCCCUGACUCCUUGAGAGUCCUGAAGGAACGUUGAAGACGACGACGUUGAUAGGCCGGGUGUGUAAGCGCAGCGAUGCGUUGAGCUAACCGGUACUAAUGAACCGUGAGGCUUAACCUU
rnacentral:rRNA from 1 species